rnacentral:rRNA from 1 species
UACGGGAGGCAGCAGUGGGGAAUAUUGCACAAUGGGCGGAAGCCUGAUGCAGCAACGCCGCGUGCGGGAUGACGGCCUUCGGGUUGUAAACCGCUUUCGCCUGUGACGAAGCGUGAGUGACGGUAAUGGGUAAAGAAGCACCGGCUAACUACGUGCCAGCAGCCGCGGUGAUACGUAGGGUGCGAGCGUUGUCCGGAUUUAUUGGGCGUAAAGGGCUCGUAGGUGGUUGAUCGCGUCGGAAGUGUAAUCUUGGGGCUUAACCCUGAGCGUGCUUUCGAUACGGGUUGACUUGAGGAAGGUAGGGGAGAAUGGAAUUCCUGGUGGAGCGGUGGAAUGCGCAGAUAUCAGGAGGAACACCAGUGGCGAAGGCGGUUCUCUGGGCCUUUCCUGACGCUGAGGAGCGAAAGCGUGGGGAGCGAACAGGCUUAGAUACCCUGGUAGUCCACGCUGUAAACGGUGGGUACUAGGUGUGGGGUCCAUUCCACGGGUUCCGUGCCGUAGCUAACGCUUUAAGUACCCCGCCUGGGGAGUACGGCCGCAAGGCUAAAACUCAAAGGAAUUGACGGGGGCCCGCACAAG